UGGUCGGGAUAGCUCAGCUGGU
rnacentral:tRNA from 1 species